GAUCGGUCGCGGGGGUGCUUGCGGUGAGGCAGGCUGAGAUUCCUCUCGGAAGGAGAAACCCUUGGAACCUGUCCGGAUAAUACCGGCGAAGGGAAGCGGCGCGAAGUCGACC
rnacentral:ncRNA from 2 species